rnacentral:rRNA from 1 species
GGUUAAGUGAAUAAGGGCGCACGGUGGAUGCCUUGGCACUAGGAGCCGAUGAAGGACGGGACUAACACCGAUAUGCUUUGGGGAGCUGUACGUAAGCUAUGAUCCAGAGAUUUCCGAAUGGGGGAACCCAACAUCUUUAAUAGGAUGUUACGAUUGUGUGAAUACAUAGCACAUUCGAGGUAGACGCAGAGAACUGAAACAUCUAAGUACCUGCAGGAAGAGAAAGAAAAUUCGAUUCCCUGAGUAGCGGCGAGCGAAACGGGAAAAGCCCAAACCAGCAAGCUUGCUUGUUGGGGUUGUAGGACUCCAAUAUGGUAGUUCUUUCAGAUAGUCGAAUGACUUGGAAAAGUCAGUCAAAGAGGGUAAAAACCCCGUAGACGAAAUGUGGAAGACACCUAGGAGGAUCCUGAGUACGGCGGAACACGAGAAAUUCCGUCGGAAUCCGGGAGGACCAUCUCCCAAGGCUAAAUACUCCCUAGUGACCGAUAGUGAACCAGUACCGUGAGGGAAAGGUGAAAAGCACCCCGGAAGGGGAGUGAAAUAGAACCUGAAACCGUGUGCCUACAACAAGUCAAAGCCCGUUAAUGGGUGAUGGCGUGCCUUUUGUAGAAUGAACCGGCGAGUUACGAUUGCAUGCGAGGUUAAGUUGAAGAGACGGAGCCGCAGCGAAAGCGAGUCUGAAUAGGGCGUUUGAGUAUGUAGUCGUAGACCCGAAACCAUGUGAUCUACCCAUGUCCAGGUUGAAGGUGCGGUAAAACGCACUGGAGGACCGAACCCACGUACGUUGAAAAGUGCGGGGAUGAGGUGUGGGUAGCGGAGAAAUUCCAAACGAACUUGGAGAUAGCUGGUUCUCUCCGAAAUAGCUUUAGGGCUAGCCUCGGAAUUGAGAAUGAUGGAGGUAGAGCACUGUUUGGACUAGGGGCCCAUCUCGGGUUACCGAAUUCAGAUAAACUCCGAAUGCCAUUCAUUCAUAUCCGGGAGUCAGACUGUGAGUGAUAAGAUCCAUAGUCGAAAGGGAAACAGCCCAGACCACCAGCUAAGGUCCCAAAAUAUAUGUUAAGUGGAAAAGGAUGUGGGGUUGCACAGACAACUAGGAUGUUGGCUUAGAAGCAGCCACCAUUUAAAGAGUGCGUAAUAGCUCACUAGUCGAGUGACCCUGCGCCGAAAAUGUACCGGGGCUAAACAUAUUACCGAAGCUGUGGAGUACACCUUUAGGUGUAUUGGUAGGAGAGCGUUCUAAGGGCGUUGAAGGCAGAUCGUGAGGACUGCUGGAGCGCUUAGAAGUGAGAAUGCCGGUAUGAGUAGCGAAAGACAGGUGAGAAUCCUGUCCACCGAAUGACUAAGGUUUCCUGGGGAAGGCUCGUCCGCCCAGGGUUAGUCGGGACCUAAGCCGAGGCCGACAGGCGUAGGCGAUGGAUAACAGGUUGAUAUUCCUGUACCCGUUGUUUUUGUUUGAGCAAUGGAGGGACGCAGGAGGCUAAGGAAUGCAGACGAU